AGGAGGAGCAAGGUGUGGACCUAAGAAAAUAAUAAAUUCUGUGUAACUGACAGCAAAAACACAGACAUAGGCACUGUAUUCUUGCUGAUAAUGAUAUUUCUCAAUAGAUACCAGGUUAACAGCUCUAGUACUGCUAUACAUGUGUACUGAAAUUGAACAAUUAAAUAAAUGGAGGACAUCCACGUUUAUCACUGAUGGAGUGGGAGUUUACAGAUAAGCAGGAGGAGGAGGCCAGAAAGAUGCAUGUGGUGAUGGAUUAGAAUUGAAGACGUCCUGCCCUCAAGGAGAGAGAACAUAAAAGAACAUAAAUCCCCUUUUCAUCAAUGUGAGCUGCACCAACUUACUUCCUCCCAAAGAGCACAAAAUAGAAAGGAACGAAAAGAAAAGAGCAACUUUACAGUGAAGAAACCUACAAACACUACCUCAGCCAGGAGUUUUGGAGAGUCAUUGCAUGAUGAUCUCUGAAGAUUCUACUGAAAUCUAAUCAAUAUGUCCUCACUGCCAUCAAUUCAAAAGAACUUGCUAAGAAGGCUCUAGAGACUUGUACUCUCAG
rnacentral:lncRNA from 1 species